rnacentral:rRNA from 1 species
UACGUAGGGGGCUAGCGUUGCUCGGAAUUACUGGGCGUAAAGGGCGCGUAGGCGGAUGUCUAAGUCAGAGGUAAAAGCCCAGGGCUCAACCUUGGAACUGCCUUUGAUACUGGACGUCUUGAGUACGGGAGAGGUGAGUGGAACUCCGAGUGUAGAGGUGAAAUUCGUAGAUAUUCGGAAGAACACCAGUGGCGAAGGCGACUCACUGGCCCGUUACUGACGCUGAGGCGCGAAAGCGUGGGGAG